AAAGAAUAAAUAUGGCGUCGAUAAACAAGCAGAAAACUAGUAUACUGGACAAACCUCUGGGAAAAGGGAAGCCGGAGAUAAAUGCAGCCACCUUUGCGCUGCUCUUCUCAGAGAUGGUACAGUACUGCCAAAAUCGAGUCUACAGUGUAUCAGAACUUCAAACAAAGUAGGUGAUUUAUUAUCCCUUUUUUCCUUAUGCUACGUGUUGCAGAGGAGAUAUAGCAUUGCUAACUGUGUACAUGUAUGAGGGUGUGUAAAGUAUAUAUAUUAAGCAUAUAUGAGCAAUCCUGUCAUUUUAUAAAUUCAUAAUUGCACUAAGUACAUGCACUAUUCCUCGCUAUAUUUAGUACGAAAACUUUAAAUCUUAUGUGCAAGUUAAAUAUACAGCACAAAAGUUCAACAAGUUGAUAUGAAUCAAUGUAUUGCUCAAAAAAAGUAUAUGCAUUUAUUGUUCAUAAGAAGGCUCCGAUUUCAAUAAUUUCUGGCCUGAUAACUGCAAUACCUGCAGGGGUUCAACCAAUUAUUUGAAAUUAAAGGUACAGUAUUGUUAAUAAAUUUUAGGUUAUCAGAACUAGGACAACAUGUUGGCACUCACAUGCUUGACCUGCUGUUUGUGAGGGAGAAAGGAUAUAAAAGGGAAACUAAACUUCUGAACAUGCUUCUCUUCAUAAAGAACAAUUUCUGGAAGACAUUGUUUGGAAAGGAGGCAGAUCGUUUAGAACAUUCCAAUGAUGACGAAAAAACAUAUUAUAUAAUUGAAACAGAACAUUUAGUCAAUAGAUACAUAUCUGUUCCAAAAGAUAAAGGGAAACUUAACUGUGCAGCAUUCACAGCGGGUAUAAUAGAGGCUGUAUUAAAUGGAGCAAAUUUUCCAGCAAAAGUGACAGCGCAUUGGCAUAAAGGAACAACAUUUAUGAUAGAAUUCGAUGAAUCUGUUUUGGCCAGAGAUAAAAUGGUGUGAUGCAGUUUAAAGAGACACAAUAUUUUAUGUAUAUCAAAGACCUUGAAAAACAACAUAUGAAUGCUUUCAAAACUUUAUUGAUCACUAAUAAUAAUAAAUAUGACUCCAU
rnacentral:misc_RNA from 1 species